CCUCGGGUGGCUGCAGUGAGGAAUAUUGCACAAUGGGGGAAACCCUGAUGCAGCAACGCCGCGUGGAGGAUGACGCAUUUCGGUGUGUAAACUCCUUUUAUCAGAGGAGAAAAUGACGGUAUCUGAUGAAUAAGCUCCGGCUAACUCCGUGCCAGCAGCCGCGGUAAUACGGAGGGAGCAAGCGUUAUUCGGAAUCACUGGGCGUAAAGGACGCGUAGGCGGGUUUUUAAGUCAGGUGUGAAACCCUAUGGCUCAACCAUAGAACUGCACUUGAAACUGGGGACCUAGAGUAUGGAAGGGGCAGGUGGAAUUAGUGGUGUAGGGGUAAAAUCCGUAGAUAUCACUAGGAAUACCGAAAGCGAAGGCGACCUGCUGGGACAUUACUGACGCUGAGGCGUGAAAGCGUGGGGAGCAAACAGGAUUAGAUACCCGUGUAGUC
rnacentral:rRNA from 1 species